UAUGGAAUUUCCAGGCAAGAGGUCGAAUCAGAGCUAGAGCUGCCAGCGUAUACCACAGCCACAACUACAAGGGAUCCAAGCUGUCUGCAACCUACACCACAGUUCAUGGCAAAGCCAGAUCCUUGACCCACUGAGCGAGGCCAGGGAUCUAAACCAUGUCCUCGUGGAUACUAGUUAGGUUCUCGGAGACUUUGUUUUUUUAAGUUAAAAGUUAAACUUUGUGCUGCCAGUUGUCUUUUCCUGAGGUCUUGCAUCUCUCUACUUCCCCAGGUGGUCCUUCUCCACCAUGAAGCUAAGGAUCCCAGACUGGAUGGUGAAGAUGGCCUGGGCUAGGUUGCCUGGAUGGAAAUCUAUGACAAAAAGACCCAGCUUUUUAUUGCACUUAAAUCUUCCAUUGGUUUUAUCAGUUGACUUUGCCAUGAAUAACCUUAUGGAUGCGGCUGGACCCAUAUGUCAUUCAAAAAUCAGAAAGGAGGAACUCAGCAUACAUGCAAGCUAUUCCUGUUUUUGGGUAGUAGUAUCUCAACCAGAGCGUCAAUAGAAACUUACCUGCUGCAGGCAUACAUUGGAGAUAUUGUGGAUUCAAUUCCAGAACCCCACAACAAAGCCAAUACUGCAGUAACGUGAGUCACACAAAUUUUUUAGUUGAGUAUAGAAUUAUGUUUAUACUGUACUCUAAUCUAUUAAGUGUGAAAUAAUAGCAUUAUAUCUUUUAAAAGUACAUACUUUAAUUAAAAAACACUUUGUUAAAAAUUGCUAUCCUCUGAGCCUUCAGGGAGUCACAGAAAUAACAUCAAAGAUCACUGAUCACAGGUUACCAUUACAAAUAUAAUAAUGAUGAAAAAGUUUGAAAUAUUGUAAAGUACCAAAAUGCAACACAGAGAGACAAAGUAAAGAAAUUAUGUUGGGGGAGUUCCUGCUGUGGUGCAGUGGAUUAAGAACCUGACUCUAGUGCUCAGGUUGCUGCAGAAGUUCAGGUUCAAUUCCUGCCCCACAUAGUGGAUUAAAGGAUCUGGCGUUACUGUGGAGUAGGUUGCAGCUGUGACUCGGAUUCAGUCCUUGGCCCUGGAACUUCCAUAUGCCCAUGGGUAUGGCCAUAAAAAGAAAAAAAUCCUAAUGGAAAAAUUUGCUAAUAUAAGGUUGCCACAUAUGUUCAAUUUGUAAAAAACACAGUAUUUGUGAAGUGUGAUAAAAUGAGAUAUACCUGUAAUAAUAAUUGAGAACAAACUUUCAUUUAUAUAUUGGACAGUUUGAUACUCAUAUUCAUGAAUUAGCUGCUCAAAUUAUUGGCUCACUUUUAGGUUUUUAUAUGAUACCUUUUAAGACAGCAUAAAAUAACAAUGAAAAAAUAGGUAGAGGAAAAAUGUGUAAGCCCACUUCACAGAAAGAUUACUUUGGACUCUUGAGAAUGGGUCAGAGUGCAGUGGUGGGCAGAAUUAUAAAGUGGCUCCAGAAAUCACUACUUGCUGGUACACCUGCUUUUGUAAAAUCCCCUCCUCUUGAGCGCAGGUGGAACCUGUGAUUGCUUGGAAUCAGGAAACUAUGGCAAAGAUGAGGGGUAAUGAAGGCAUGAUAAUAUCCUAUUACAUCAACUCUGACUUCAGGAAGAGGGAAAUUAACCUGUGUGUAACUGACUUAACCAGGUGGACCCUUUAAAAAGAAUUCUCUGGGAUGAGAAUAUCUUGAUGGCUCUGAAGAAGUCAGUUACCAUAUUGUCAGAGGGUCAAUGAAGGGGCAUCAGAGAAAAAAACUGGGAGCAGCCUUUGGAGCUGAAAGUGGGCUGUGCCUGACAGCCCAGGAGAAAACAGGGGCCUCAGUCCUACAGAAGGGAAUUGAAUUCCGCCAGCAACCAUGUGAGCUUGGAUAGAGGUCCCCAAAAUUCAGGAAAAAAUGUGGAUAUUGAAAUUUUAAAUUGGAGCCUUCUGAGGCCUGGCACAGAGGACCUAGUUAAGCCAUCUCCACGCUUGUGACCCAUGAAAGUGUGAGAAAAAUGAAGGUAUGUUUUAUUUUAAGACUCUUAAGUUUGUGGUGGCUUAUUAAGUAGCAAUAGAAAGCUACUAUAGGGAGUUCUGUUGUGGCACAGCAGAAGCAAAUCUGACAAGGAACCAUGAGGCUGCGGUUUGAUCCCUGGCCUUGCUCAGUGGGUUAAGGAUCCAGCAUUGCCAUGAGCUGUGGUGUAGGUCACAGACACAGCUCAGAUUUGGUGUUGCUGUGGCUGUGGCAGAGGCCAGCAGCUGUGACUCAGAUUAGACACCUAGACUGGGAACCUCCAUAUACCGGGGGGUGGCCCUAAAUAGAUAAAAAAAUUAAAAACCAUGCUAUAAUGUGUGUACAAAUAGAAAAGUCAUUAGAAGAGAAGAUAGAUCAUUGUGAACUCAAAUAGUUUUAGAUCAGAAAGUAUUUCUCUAGAUAAAAUUCUAAAUCUACGCUAAUAAGGUGGAUUGUUUUUAAUGCCUUCAUGUAUUUUUGACCUGGCGCUUUAGGGUAUUUAUAUCACCUACUUUUUAUUCCUAACUCUUCAGACUUUGAAUUGCUGCACUGGAAAUUCAUGAAUUGUACUUUGUAGCUUCAUUGAUUGUGGUGAUUUUAAAUCUGUGGAAAAGUUUAAUCAAGUUUAGAAGUAGACAUUUCUAUUCCUCAAAAUUUUAUAAAUUUGUUGCAGAUAAUAUUUUGAGUGUCACUAUUCCAUACACACCUCAAACUGAAGUGUGUUUUGAUCAUUAUCAUGAAAGUAGAAUGAAUUGCCUUAGGUAUCUUGAGUCUUUUCUGUCAGAAGAAGGAUAUAUUACACAUUUCUAGAGCUUUUGAGUUAAAGAAAUACUUAUAUCAAAAGCCAAAUAACCAACUUUCCUUUCCUCAUUCUAAGCCUCUUUCUAGAUGGGUAAAUGUCUAUGAAAUUACAAAAUUAGCAGUCUUCCUAAAAUGUAGAUUUGGGUAGAAAUUAUAUGGCAAUGUAGUCAGGAAAACAAAUGGCCCUGUAUUUGUACUUAGAAAUGUAUACUCUGUGGCACUUUGCUUACUCCCUGAUGCUUACUUUAGUUAGCUGACCAAAUGGAUAAAAUGACCACACUUCAUGGUAAUCUCAGUCUAAACUCACUUUUAAAAUGGAAUUGAUUGUGGUUAUCUUAAUUGUUAGUUCUAAAAUAUAUAAUUCUGUUAGAAUAACAUUAAUGCAUACUGUUAUAAAAUUGCAUAGAACAUCUUAUAUUUAUGGUGUUCACUUACAGAGAACACUUUUUCAUUUAUGUUAUUCUGUCAUUGUUUUAUAUUUCCCCUGGAUCUAUCCAUUCCCAUUGAUAAAUUACAUAGAUGAUUUUUGUUAAGGACACAUGCUAAGGUGACCUCACUGGGGAUCUUAUCUUCUCUCAUUGCAUAUAGGCAAUACCUGUGACACAAUUCUAAGUAAAAAAAUCAUGGUAAAUUUGAAGGAUUUUUUGCACAUUUAAUUAAGGUCAUAAAUUAGUUAUCCUUGAGUUAAUCAAAAGAAAAAUCAUCCAGUGAAAACCUAACCAUUACAUGUGAACCUUUUAAAAGAAGGUGCUAGGUUCUCUCUGUUAUUAGGGAGUCAAAGCUGCUGAAAUUUCACUGACUGAAGUUGCUGGCUUUAAAGAAGCAAUCUACCAAGAACCUACAGCUGCAAGGAAAUUCAACGACUUGAGAAAACCUAGAAAUGUGUUCUUUCUAGUUAAG
rnacentral:lncRNA from 1 species